UUUCUAAACCCUAAGUUUUAGUUUUAAUUUUUUUUAAAGGUAAUAUUCACAUUGUUUGGUUGUGAAUUAUGAUACUUGUGAAAUAUGAAUUUGUGAUUGUGGAUUUAUGUUGUUGAUUUGGAAUUGGUCAUGAACUCAGAUCAUGAUUUUGGAAAUUGUUAGUUUGCAAUUUCAAAUCUGUAAUUAGGAUAUUGUAAAUAUGAUUUGAUUUAUAAUUGAACUCAUUCAGUUCCCAGGGAUAGUAUAAUUGAAUCAGGGUAUUGAUUUGUUAGACUACAGUUUUGUUUUCUAGCUCAUUGUAUGCCGUCUUUUGCCAUAUGAAAAUAUCUUUGCAUAUAUUGAGACUAGCACACAUUAAGUUAAUAUUGGUAAUUUGGUUCUGCAAGAAUAUUGAGGAAGAAUGGGUCACCUCUUUGCGUGAAUACUGCAGCAUCACAUUUUCCCCAAGCCAUAAGCACACUUAAUCUGAAUCUUCAAUUCGAGCUCGUGAAAAUAUGCCUUCAGAAAUCUCAAAAUCAGCUAAGAGGGGCUGCAUAUCAUUACAGUAGGUUAUACCACUUCUGAAAUAUGCACUCAAUAACUGGUGAAUAUAGUAAAUGCAAUAACCAUUCAAGUAUACAGCAGUGUGCUAUUCAACCAUUCAAGUCUAGAAAUUGAAGAUAUAUAUUAUGAACAAGAAUUCGUCUACAGAGUCAUCUAAAACUUGAAGUAAUAUUUUUUUGUUAAUUUUCAUAUAUUGAAAUCCAGACAGCUUUUGUUAUGGUUUAUAGUGUUAUACAGGUCAAUUUUAGUAAGUUUGUAUUAUUACUCCAAUUGCUCACACAACAUUUUGGAGUCAAAUUUCCUCGGACAUUAACUGGACCCGGUCUGACUAUCCUGUUUAAUCCAGAUUGUAAAAAAUGAUAGCAGCAAGUCCUGAUUACAACUUAAUGCAGUUAAGUCAGCUCCAAACACUUGAGUACUAGAAGAAGCCAGCUAUGAGUACAAAAGUUUACUCCUAUGCAGGGAUGUGCUUGUCAAAAUUGAAAUAAGUUCAUCUUUCUUGCUCAGGCAGCACCAGUAUUAUUACGGCAUUGGUCAAACCUAUUCUCACGAGAAAAUUGAUGAACUCAAAGAGUUGUGGCUUACAUAUGUCGGAGAUCAACAAGAAGCACAAAUGAUGAAUGAGUUCUAACUUCCCGCCUAAUUUUUUUUACCUUAAUCCAUUUUUGGAUGUAUAUUAUAUUUUUAUAUUUGGAUAUUAAUAUCAUGUGGAUGUGGCUAGUCUAGAUUUGAUUGUUUAUGAUUUAGAUUAAUAUUGAUUUGUAUAUAUAGUAGUUUUUGGAAGUUUAGAAUUAUGAAUAUUCGUUGAAUUAUAUUGUGAAAUAAAAAUUUUGGAAUUUAA